CAGCCGCCGCGGGAAUACGGAGGGUGCAAGCGUUAAUCGGAAUUACUGGGCGUAAAGCGCACGCAGGCGGUCUGACAAGUCAGAUGUGAAAUCCCCGGGCUUAACCUGGGAACUGCAUUUGAAACUGUCAGGCUGGAGUCUUGUAGAGGGGGGUAGAAUUCCAGGUGUAGCGGUGAAAUGCGUAGAGAUCUGGAGGAAUACCGGUGGCGAAGGCGGCCCCCUGGACAAAGACUGACGCUCAGGUGCGAAAGCGUGGGGAGCAAACAGGAUUAGAUACCCGAGUAGUCCCUGUCUCUUAUAC
rnacentral:rRNA from 1 species